rnacentral:misc_RNA from 1 species
AACGCACAUUGCGCCCCUUGGUAUUCCAUGGGGCAUGCCUGUUCGAGCGUCAUCUACACCCUCAAGCUCUGCUUGGUGUUGGGCGUCUGUCCCCGCCUCCGCGCGGCGGACUCGCCCCAAAUUCAUUGGCAGCGGUGUCUUUUUGCCCCAGUCUCGCGCAGCACAUUGCGCUUGCAGCACUGUCGGCGGCCCGCGAUCCAGCAAGCUCCUUUCACCGUCUUUGACCUCGGAUCAGGUAGGGAUACCCGCUGAACUUAA